AUCCCCAAUCGGCCCAGCCUCAUAUCAGUUGCUCCUAGCUAAGCCUCUUAGCAUUGGGAUUACACGGAGCAGCUCAGAGAUACCAUGAGAUCUGGAAACAGAGCUUCAGCUGAAUCCCAGCCCCAGCACUUACUACCUGUAUGAUACUGAGCAAGUCACUUAAACUCUCUGAGUAUUAAGUUUCAGAUAUAAUCAUGUCUUCCUCCAAGAUAGUUGUGAGGUUUUAAUAAGAUGACCUAUAAAAGUGCUUUACAUAGCACGUGGUAGGCAUCCAAUACCUAGUAGGUAUCGUCAUUUUCAUUUUUUUUUCUUUCUUGCACUUUUGGGCAACUUACUGGGUUUGAUGUCUGUGCUGUUCAAAUGGACUGCAGGUAGCCAAGGGCAGGCAGUGUGUGGUGCUUCCUUGAUUUCCUUAUUGUUCUAGUAAGAUCUCAGCACUGAAUGUUUCUUUCAUAACAGGACUCGAGGGAGAACAGAUGAAGAAAAGAAUGUGCAGGUGUGCACAUGACCCAAAGGGAAGAAGGUGGAGAUAGGAGGCAGCCAUUUGUUCAGCCAUCCCAGAUUGAGUUCUUUCUCUGGACCAAACACUUAGGACAAAGCUACAAUGUUUGAGAAUCUCAGUCAAGUGGGAGCAGACCAAGAAGAACACAGGAGACAGAGGCAGGUGGCACGCUGUGUAAACCGUGAAAAGCAUUAUGAAAAUAUCUGCAAAUCGUGUGCUGUCUCCAAAUAUUUCAACAUAAAUAUUUGCUGGAGGCAGGUCCAACUUCCCAGCGCAAGAGGAGGACAGAAGGUGAGUUGGAUGUGGGAGCAAAUGGUUCAGUCUGUCCCUUUUAGAGCCGCACCCAUGGCACAUAUAAGUUCCCAGGCUAGGGGUAGAAUUGGAGGUACAGCGGCCAGUGUAUACCAUAGCCAUGGCAACUCCAAAUCUAAGCUGAGUCUGCAGCCUAUACCACUGCUCACAGCAACGCCAGAUCUUUGACCACUGAGAGAGGCCAGGGAUUGAACCUGAGUCCUCAUAGAUACUAGUCAGAUUCAUUUCUACUGCGCCACCAUGGGAACUCCCGACUUCUAAGCGCUUGGCUCCAUGCUGGGUGCUUUCCACGAGUUGUUUCUCAUCACCAC
rnacentral:lncRNA from 1 species